GCGGGGGGAGCGUGGCGGAGUUCUUCGAUCCGUCAGUUCAUCUCUUGGAGUCUCUGGUCCAGAAAAUCCUCUCGACUUCGAGUCUCGAGGGUCCUCUGGCAGAAUGGGGGCAGGGAUCUUCCAGGGGUGGAGUCGUGAUCCGAUUGAGGGCUCUCCACCCUCGGGUUCAUCUUCCCAGGAAAGACGGGAUGGCUGGCCCAAGUGGCCC
rnacentral:lncRNA from 1 species